UGAGUUAACCAUUGAAUUAAUUAUUAUAAAUAUGGACAGGGUUAAACAAAAUUUUAAACGGUCAAAUUUUAAAUUCGAGUUAGCUCAUUCUAAAUCGUUUUUAGUGGAAUACUCUUUUGUACGUAUAAUAUGAAUUUAUUUUGCGUAAUGUCAUUAGAAUUUUCCUACUUAACUUGUUGUAUGAUAUAUUCAUAUAAAUUUGUGGAUUGUUUCAUGAUGGUUUAUCAAUUUUAUGCAUUCAAAUUCACCUAUUUCUCUCGUGAGGAAGUAGGUGAAUGAUUUGGUCCUAUGGCUUCUUCUAACUGCAGAUUUUUCUUUUCUUUUUAAGUAUUUUAACUUGGAACGCAACAUGAGUGAUAUGUAGAUAAAGUAAGAGGACUGGUGAGCAAAAAAAGUAGGAAUUGUAUAUGGUGUUAAAAAGUAAAAACAAAUUCAGAUUGAUGUGUUGUUUAAUUGGUAUUGCACUUAAUAACUUGUCCUUCUUCCUGUAAGAUGGCAUUUACUGGAGGCAAUGAUUGGGAGAGGUGUGGUGAGACUACAGUCAAGGCAUCAGAUGAGACUGAAUCUGAUCGAAACCUUUGGAACACGUCAUAGCCAUGCAAGUUACCUUUCUUUGCCAAGUGAUCAUCUUGAUGAUGGUGGUGGUGAAUCAACAAAUUCAAGUGGUUUUGAAAUGGAAUUAAUAAGAUAUGUUAUAGCUUCUAGUUUAAUGAAUUCAUUUUAAAUUGUAAAUGUUAAUGUAAAAUUUUGAUGAUGUAUUUGGUAUAUAAAUAUUACCCAUCUUUGAAACUUUAAUUCAAAUGCAUGUAAUAGGUCUAUGUUUUCUCUGUUAUGUUAAUAUUUGAUAUUAGUUAUAUAUUCAAAUUAAAAUAAUACAAA